rnacentral:lncRNA from 1 species
GUUGGCUGGAGCUGGAGUAACAAGAUGGCGUCGUCGGCGGAGUGACAGGGGUCCCUCUGGGCCGGAGCCGACGGCAGUGGUGGCAGCGGUACCGCUCCCCAGCUCACUGCGCCCCUUUUCCAGCCCGGACGUCGCCGCGAAAGCGAGGCAGCGGCGGCUGCCCAGAACAGGUGGCCCAGCCUGGUAACCGCUAGAAGCCCUUCACAAACUGCGGCCUGGCAGGCAACCAACCAAAAAACAAACAAAGAAUCCUGACCGAGCAGCGGGCAUCAAGUUCCCUUCGCCGGCAUCUGGGCCCUGGACGCCGGGAAAGGCCUCCGUGUUCCGCUUCCUGCCGCCUUCCACGGUAGGCUUGGCCCAGCCUCCAUCUUCGUCUCUCAGGACGGCUAGCAGCAGAAUUCAUUGUCGGAAGGAAAUAUAAACUGCUUUGGAAGAUCUGGUGUAGCUCCUUCGGAGACAUCUGUCUGGCGAUCAGCAUCACCAACGGUGAAGAAGUGGUAGUGAAGCCAGAAUCUCAGGGCCAGGCAUCCCCAGUUGCUGUACAAGAGCAGGCUUUACAAGAUGCUUCAAGGACCCUGAUCCAUCAAUAUGACUACACAUUUGAUUGGACAAAGUUAAAGCAGAAAGCAGCACAGCAGGCAGCCUCUUCUAGUGGGAGGGGCAGCAGGCCCAAACCCCAACAGGGUAUUUAGAGAAAUUCAAUCAGAGACGAUGGAACUAAAGCUGGCCCUUCUGUGCAUACCUGUUUCCUAAAGAAAUGUUUACUCCUGGAUUGGGUCAGCCCCUCUGCAUUUACCUAUAAGAAUCUACAUACAAGCUUGUCUAUCCAUCCUGCAUAGAGCACAAGUCACAGAAGAAAAGCUCCUCUCCAUAAAUUGCUUAACAUAGUAAUCAAUAUCUCUUCACAUUUUCAGAGUAAACUAUAUCACUUGAAUAAACAAAAUGCCAAAGGGUUCACAGUAACAGACUAAUUAGAGCAAUGACAAUGAUUCUAGAAGUCUUCCUGGAAAAGGCAACUAUUUAACUAUGUUGUAUUUAUUCACAUCAGCCCUUUAAACUUUCUCCAUGAUACAUCCAUUUUUGAGGGGAGGGAAAGGUGAGGUUAGGGGUCCCGAGAGACUUAGAGGGAUGAUGGGGUCAGAAGUAUAUUGAGAUGAUUUCACUGGGAAACGGGAGGAUGAGUUUCAGGACAAUAGCUGUGGUUCUGUUUCAAACAGGAUGCAUGGAGAAGACAGAACACCUUCUCAAAUGGGAAGAGAGAGACAGCAAACAUAGCAAAAGACAUAGAAACCCUAAAAGUAACAAAGUACCCGAAGUUAUGUUUACUUUGAAAACACUUACUUACUUAAGUACUAAAACGAGAGAACACUUCAUGUGGACACUGGGUGCAAAUCAUGUCCAUCGAUCUGGAAUUUAUACCCCAGCCUUCUUCCAAAAGUUGGGGGUGUUUGUUUUAACAAAAUUGGUCGUGUGAAUUAUUACAUGUUUUCUCAGUUAUUUCCCCAGGGAAACACGCCAAAGGCAAACCCAUCAUUUCAGCUGAUUUAGUGUUUGAUGCCAGAGAAUUUAUAAUUGAUAUGACAACCAUAAUGGAUAGUGAUCAUGGAGUUGGCAAGGCCUGGCUGACAGUGGUGCAGUCCAUUUUGGUGUUUGCCAGUUAAUCAACCAUCAGACUUGCUCUGAUGAAUUUUGAGGUGAUUUCUGAACUUUCCAUUUCUAACUAACUUUCUGAAUAUUAGAAAUUAGAACCACAUUAUAAAAUGGAAAAGACUACAUAAAUCUUGCGUACCCAAAAUAUGUCUUUUUCAAGUAGCCCUUAAUUAUUCGCUAAUGGAGGGAAUGGAGUUUCUUUUUCCUUGGCAUAGUUCUCAAAGGAUCACAGGGUAACCCAGAGUUCGGUCAGAUGUUUAUCUCAAGGAACAAAGAGAUUUAUGGGUUUUGGAUAUAUAAAAGUCUGCUUAAAAUAAAAAAUUAUUGGAAUUUC